GCUUGUCUCAAAGAUUAAGCCAUGCAAGUCUAAGUACGAGCUCUCGUACAGCGAAACUGCGAAUGGCUCAUUAAAUCAGUUAUGGUUCAUUUGAUCGUACACGUUUACUUGGAUAACUGUGGUAAUUCUAGAGCUAAUACAUGCUAAAAGCGCCGACUCCGGGAGGCGCGCAUUUAUCAGACCGCCGGCCCGGGCGCGUCGCGAGGCGCGUCCGGUCCUCUGGUGACUCUGGAUAACUGAGCGGAUCGCACGGUCUUCGCACCGGCGACGAAUCAUUCAAGUGUCUGCCCUAUCAACUCGAGUCGGUACGGUCUCGGCCUACCGAGGUUCUUACGGGUAACGGGGAAUCAGGGUUCGGUUCCGGAGAGGGAGCCUGAGAAACGGCUACCACUUCCAAGGAAGGCAGCAGGCGCGCAAAUUACCCAUUCCCGACGCGGGGAGGUAGUGACGAAAAAUAACGAUGCGGGACUCGAACGAGGCCCCGCAAUCGGAAUGAGUACACUGUAAAGGCGUUUAACGAGUAUCGAUUGGAGGGCAAGUCUGGUGCCAGCAGCCGCGGUAAUUCCAGCUCCAAAAGUGUAUGCUUAAGUUGUUGCGGUUGAAAAGCUCGUAGUUGGAAUUCGAGCGCGGCGCGGCGGUCCGCCGCAAGGCGAGCACUGCCGGGCCCGCUUUCGGGUCGCGAGCGGGCGCUGCUCUUGACCGAGUGGCGCGUCGGUCUCCGACCGGAUUACUUUGAAAAAAUUAGAGUGUUCAAAGCAGGCCGAUUCGGGCCCGAAUAUCGACGCAUGGAAUAGUGGAACAGGGCUUCGGUUCUCUUCCGCCGGCGAGGAACGGAGGCAAUGAUCAAGAGGGACGGACGGGGGCAUUCGUACUGUGCCGUUAGAGGUGAAAUUCUUGGAUCGGCGCAAGACGAACGAAGGCGAAGGCAUUUGCCAAGGAUGUUUUCUUUAAUCAAGAGCGAAAGUCAGAGGUUCGAAGACGAUCAGAUACCGUCCUAGUUCUGACUAUAAACGAUGCCGACCGCGCGUCGCGCCGAGACGAUUUGACGAGUCCGACGCGGAGCGCCGAGGGAAACCAGAGUCUUUGGGUUCCGGGGGAAGUAUGGUUGCAAAGCUGAAACUUAAAGGAAUUGACGGAAGGGCACCACCAGGAGUGGAGCCUGCGGCUUAAUUUGACUCAACACGGGGAAACUCACCCGGCCCGGACACGGCGAGGAUUGACAGAUUGAGAGCUCUUUCUUGAUUCUGUGGGUGGUGGUGCAUGGCCGUUCUUAGUUGGUGGAUCGAUUUGUCUGGUUAAUUCCGAUAACGAACGAGACUCACUUUUGCUAACUAGCUAGCCCUUCCGGCUUCCCGUUCGCGCGGGGAGCGAAGCGGCGUCAACUUCUUAGAGGGACAAGUGGCGUUCAGCCACACGAGAUUGAGCAAUAACAGGUCUGUGAUGCCCUUAGAUGUUCGGGGCCGCACGCGCGCUACACUGGUCGGAGCAGCCGGAUUUUCACGUCCUCGGUCGAAAGGCCCGGGCAAUCCGCGAACCCCGACCGUGCUUGGGAUAGGGAAUUGCAAUUGUUUCCCUCGAACGAGGAAUUCCCAGUAAGCGCGAGUCAUCAGCUCGCGUUGAUUACGUCCCUGCCCUUUGUACACACCGCCCGUCGCUACUACCGAUUGAGCGUUUUAGUGAGGUCCUCGUAUUGGAGCGCGUCGACGUCGCGAGGCGCCGACGCGAGCCGAGAAGAUGAUCGAACUUGAUCGCUUAGAGGAAGUAAAAGUCGUAACAAGGUUU
rnacentral:rRNA from 1 species